GAAAAAUAUCAGGUCCUACGCGGCAUUGUGGUAACGUUAAGGAGAGCAGCCACAAGAUCCACUGUGUUCUGCUGUGCAACCGCCAGUUUGGAAGUCCCUCGUCUUAUUGUAGAGAGCAGCCACAAGAUCCACUGUGUUCUGCUGUGCAACCACCAGUUUGGAAG